GGGGCAGUAGCUCAGCUGGGAGAGCACUUGACUGGCAGUCAAGAGGUCAGGGGUUCGAUCCCCCUCUGCUCCACCA
rnacentral:tRNA from 1 species